rnacentral:rRNA from 1 species
CCUACGGGGGGCAGCAGUAGGGAAUCUUUCACAAUGGGCGAAAGCCUGAUGGAGCAACGCCGCGUGCAGGAUGAAGGCCUUCGGGUUGUAAACUGCUUUUAUAAGGGAGCAAUUAGCGCUACGUGUAGCGUUAUCGAGAGUACCUGAAGAAAAAGCAUCGGCUAACUCCGUGCCAGCAGCCGCGGUAAUACGGAGGAUGCGAGCGUUAUCCGGAUUUAUUGGGUUUAAAGGGUGCGUAGGCGGAAUGCCAAGUCAGCGGUAAAAUCGCGGGGCUCAACCUCGCUCCGCCGUUGAAACUGGCAUUCUUGAGUGCGCGAGAGGUAUGCGGAAUGCGUGGUGUAGCGGUGAAAUGCAUAGAUAUCACGCAGAACUCCGAUUGCGAAGGCAGCAUACCGGCGCCCAACUGACGCUGAGGCACGAAAGCGUGGGUAUCGAACAGGAUUAGAUACCCCGGUAGUC